rnacentral:lncRNA from 1 species
CCCCACCCCCCGUGGCUGUGUUGCUACCCUUGGGAGACCCCGGCUCUCAGCUGCCCACCUCACAGCUUGGUACACUCCCCAGGAGUUCACAGGGACCAGCUCGCCAAGGGCUACGUCCUUGAUGAAGAACCGCUGCCUCACCAGGGACAUGAAUACUCGCUUGCUGCCCAGUGUCAGAGGCCAGGGACCCUCCUCACUCCACAGAUGCAGCAUGCUCUCACGCAGGGUGGCAAUCUCCUCUGUGCGCUGCAAGUGCAGAGGUAACGGUGCUAAGAGGACCCACGGGGAACAAGGACAGAGAAAUGGGAAUUGGAUGACAGAAGUGGGUGGCAGAUGUGUACGUGUGGGGAUGUCUUCUAUAGAGGCAGCCUGACGGGAGGUCCUCACCUCCAGGAAACAUUGUUCAGCACCACCCAGCUAAUGUAUCCUGGGGCCCUGUAGAGAUGGGAACAGACAGGGCUUGGGGCAGGCUGGCAGAGGGUGAGGGGGUCAGUGGUUCUCCCAGAGUUUUCUCUCACCAGCUUGGUCUCAUUAUUAAACUUCAGGUUCUGGA